rnacentral:lncRNA from 1 species
ACAGAAUUAAAAUGUUAAAGUACAGUGGAAGGCAAUGCAGCUCAGCUGUCUUUAUCUACUAUCCAAAAGCAGUUGAAUCUGACAACUCUUAAACCACAAGAAGCACAGAAAAACAAGCACCAAAUAAUAGUAUAUUUUCAAAACAUUCUGACACACAUUCAAUAAACGUCAGCUGCACAACGAAGUGGCACAUUGCUAUGUAUUUCUAGUCAGACUUGGAAGUGACGUAAAAUCUAAUCAUUGUUACUCCAGAGGAGGUGAGAUUUACUGACAAGCUCCCUUUGACUUACCACAAGGCCUGAAAAUGGAAGGAUAACUGAGGACUGCUCAGGAAACCCUCCAGACACAGUACAAGGGAAACAUACAACAGCAUUUCAACUGACAUUUAAUCUAAUUUUUUUAAUUUUUUUUUUUAAACUGCCAGCAACAAAAGGUACAGCUGGGCCCUGAGAACCAAAGAUCAAGAAGAACCUUGGAACAAUAAUGUAAUGAUAAAAAGAGUAGAAAUGGACAUCAUAAUGGAUUAACAGCAAGAAUAAUGCCUGGGACCUAGCAAUUAUCAAAUUAUGUAAUUUGCUGUGAAGCAAUUGCCUUCCACAGUACUUCCGAUUAUCACAGAAACCCUUUACUCUGGUGGUGUCUUUUCAAGGCUUUGCUGUCCAGAAGCAUCAGCUUUGAGAUGGAGCCCAGGGAGAAUGGAAAGGAAAAGCAGGUAGAAAUGUGCUCGACAGCCUGUAGAGCUAGAAACUAACAGAGCUGCCUGCGACAGAGCUUCAGCUGCGCUGAGACAUCACCUAUGGGGUGGAACCACAUACAAUCAAGUUGCUGAGAAAGCUGGGCAGCAGGCACUGAUUAAGACUACCUCUCUAUUACACCUUGCAGUUUGCUGUAGGGUUGGAGCUCUUUAGAGCUUGGGCACCAAAGGGGACUGAUAUAAGGUCUCAAGUAUAAAUCAGACCUACAGAGACAUAAAGGAAAAGAAUUUAAGUUAGUCCUAAAGGUGCAGCUGGAAAACUCUCUGGCAGAGUUGUCCACAUUCCCCCCUGUGCUGGAUAUCAUAAAAGGCACUCACCACCUUUCCAUUCCUCAUUCAAUCUGAACUGAGGCUCCUUUGUACUCACCAGGUGUGGCCUUCAGCUGUGUCAUCUCGUAAUUGCCUAGGAUGUGAUCUACUCCAGGGAUGAAUUAGAGUCACUGAGGAGACUGUGGUUUGUUCUCCGAGACCUCUGCUUUAAAUAUUGCGAAAGUUUACUUUCAGAGCACAUGGACAUGGAAGGAAAAGGGCGUCACUUUACACUGCAGAGAAGCUAGAGAGCUAGACUCCAUCUCCUCCUUGGAAACAGGAAAUUUAAAAAAAAUCAUUAACGGGGUAGAGUAGCAAGGCCAUGCUAAAUAUGACAUAUGAAAUAUGGGUUGAUCAGCAGCACUGUGUUGGCAUAGCUAUGGCUGAAAAUUUAAAAUGAGAACAGACCCAAACUGCAUAUUAAUUUACACACUUGCAUCUACAAAAACUUCACUGUGGACUUACAGAAGGGUAAUG